UUGUGCAAUGGAAAUUCGGUUGGCCAGAUGUGUCAUAUUUGUUUGGUUAUUAAAUUUAAAUUGUUUUUUUCUGCAUUGUUCCAUCGUAACAACAUCUGGUUUUGCUAAAUUGUUUGAAAAAUAUUCGAUUCCGAAGUCCAAUAGUAAUUCAUAAAAUAACUCGUUCUUUAUUCUUAAGGAAAAAAAAUCGAAUUCUCAAAUAUAUUAUCUUCAAUAUUAAUCAUUCAAUGCUCUCAGAAAUAUUUCUCAAUUUCAAAACUUGCUUUAAACAAAAUUUCAAUUAUCUAAAAAUUAAUUUAAAACAUUGUUUUUGAUUUAAAACCAAACUAUGGAUGUAUAUGGACUUGAAAUUGGCUCGAUUUCGAAAAUUACAACCCUCCCUUGUUGGUAGUAUUGAUCAGCUGCAGAUGCCAGAUGUUCGAAUUCGAUAUCGAAUUAUUUUCGACGAUAGUCAUAUGACUUAUCAAAGUAUUUUCUCAUUGAUAUUUUCCAUUUCGAUUCAAACAAGAGCAAAGACUUGAGAAGUCAGUCUGCUGUGCAUUACUAGUGAAACUUCUCUCGACAUUUUUUCCAUUUAUCCUUUCUUUUCGUUUUUCCCGAAUAAAAAAACACUCCAACAAAAUGGCACUCAGCGACGCUGACGUUCAAAAACAAAUCAAGCAUAUGAUGGCUUUUAUCGAGCAAGAGGCCAACGAAAAAGCCGAAGAAAUCGAUGCCAAAGCUGAGGAAGAAUUCAACAUCGAAAAAGGACGUUUGGUUCAACAGCAACGCCUUAAGAUCAUGGAAUAUUACGAGAAGAAAGAAAAACAAGUGGAAUUACAGAAGAAAAUUCAAUCAUCGAAUAUGUUGAAUCAAGCUCGUCUCAAGGUGUUGAAGGUUCGAGAAGACCAUGUUCGUAGUGUAUUGGAUGAAGCGCGUCGUCGCUUAGGCGAAGUAACCAAGGAUCCAGCCAAGUACCAAGAAGUCUUGCAAAAAUUGAUCGUUCAAGGUUUAUUCCAAAUUAUGGAACCCAAGGCAACGAUCAAAAGUCGUCAAGUCGACCAGGUAUUAAUUGAAAAACUCUUGCCGACUGCAUUGCAACAAUACAAAGAAAAAAUUGGCAAAGAGGUUGCUAUUACACUGGACAAGGAGAGCUUCCUACCAGCUGACACUUGUGGUGGCGUUGAAUUGCACGCCUUGAACGGUCGUAUUCGGGUACCAAACACCCUAGAGGCUCGUUUGGAAUUGAUUUCACAGCAGUUGGUUCCAGAAAUUCGUACUGCAUUAUUUGGACGCAACGUGAAUCGUAAAUUCACCGACUAAAUACACUGUUAUUCGCUGUUCAGUACAUUCUUUUUGUUCGUUUGUUAAAUUGUUUAUUUGCAAAAAAAACUUGAAUAGAAAUUAUCCCACACAAGCUAUUAUACACUUUAUAAAAUAGAUCUAAUUAAUCGAAAAUAUCACAUUCCUCCGAUGUAAUAAACAAGAAGAAAACAAUGCGCCAGCGCUUCACAAAAUUCAUUGGUACCAAACAAGUGAAUUUUCGAUAAAAAAAAUCAAUUCAAUACUACCAAAUUCCAGUUUAAUCCCAGCGAUCCGAUUAAAUCCAAUCCAAAGUAAAUACUGUUCAAUUGAAUUAUCCACCUUAAUUACCAUUUUGUUCUGGGAAUGUUAGGAAAGAAACACUUGAAAAUAACAGUUAGUAAGAGAAUUCAACUUUAAACUUGCGGUUUACUAUGCUGCACAUCAGUAAGAUAAAUAAUUAUUAUGCAUAUAAAAAUAUUUGAAAAUGAAAGAUAAAUAGAAUUAUAUAAUGAAUGAAUAUGCCAUACAUGGCAAUUACUACACUAAUAUUUACUUUAGUGAUUCUACUAACCACUUCAUUUCAAUCCCUUGACAGAUUUAGAUAACGCAUUAGUUUCAGUUUGGUUUCUUGUGUUAUAAUUUUUCCUUUUUCAAAAUUAAAAUGUGGUAUCUUAGAGUUUUGAAUUUCAUCAAUGGCCAUGAUCAUUGUACGUGUAGUUUCGACAAAAACAACCGCAAAAAUACUGAGACAUCGGAUGAAUCUUCUUUGGCGCUAUCAUUAAUUCAACGAGAUUCUAGUUGAAACUAAUUGAACUUUCUUUCAUUGCCUGUCAGCAUCAUUUUCUGCUUUCUUUACACCAAAUUAUAAGCACAUAGUAUUCACGCGUUUAUGGAUAAAAAUCCAUAGAUAACAAUCUGAACGAUCCAAGAUAUCUUCGGCGUGUGCUCUAAAAUUUGCUGCAUUGAUGAGCGUAAUUACCCUUUGGCAAUGAAUUUGAAUUUAAUUGAAGUAAUGUUGUAUUGGCAUGCAAAAAAAUGAAAAAAAAGUGUUAUUUUUUAUUCUUUGUAACAACAAAUGUUAGCUGUGUCUCCUUUUGGUUCAUCGAUAGAACAGCAUACAUCCCCUGACUGAAUUGAUUGAUGUGGAAAAAUAUUUUUGAAAAAUGCUUAUAUAUCUCGAUGAAUGGAUGGUAUGGCAAAGAAGUUAUUAAUUUACAAACAACAAAUGUUGCUGUCGACAAAAACACUACAAUCACUUUUUGUAUUGUUUUUCUUAAAACCAGUUUUUAAUUGUGUUUUUGUAAAUAUUUCUCAUGUAAAAUUUAAUGGCCAAAUAUUUUAUCUUCGAUGUGCAAAAAAUACCAGUUUUCCCCAUUUCGGUCGUCCUCAUGCAUAAUUGUAAAUUCAAAUGAGAAACAAUAUAAACGUUGAUCAUGUUAAAUAAAUUUCGGAUGAAAAUAGCAAUUCGAAAUGAAAGUCUUUCUUUUAACUGCUUUUCCUAUUUCAAAUUGAAUUAUGGUUUUUCUAGUGCAUAUUGAUUUCAUUUUUAAGUCAGUGACCACAAUUUUAUGAAGGUCUGAGUCACGCAAUGCAAACAUAUGACAAAUUUUGAACAAAAACAAACAGCAGCAAAGCAGAUAUCACCAAAAUUUAUGAUUUAUUCUGAAGAAAAACUAUAACCGCUAAAUGUAAAUAUGUGUGAAUUUAUUAGAAAAUCCAAAUAAAAAUCUUUAAGAAACAUCA